rnacentral:rRNA from 1 species
ACKGCUCAGUAACACGUGGACAACCUACCCUUGGGACGGGGAUAAACCCGGGAAACUGGGUAUAAUACCCGAUAGAUCUCGGAAGCUGGAAUGCAUCGAGAUCGAAAGCUCCGGUGCCCAAGGAUGGGUCUGCGGCCUAUCAGGUAGUAGUGGGUGUAGCGUACCUACUAGCCUACGACGGGUACGGGUUGUGAGAGCAAGAGCCCGGAGAUGGAUUCUGAGACACGAAUCCAGGCCCUACGGGGUGCAGCAGGCGCGAAAACUUUACAAUGCUGGAAACAGCGAUAAGGGGACCUCGAGUGCCAGGUUACAAAUCUGGCUGUCGUAAUGCCUAAAAAGCAUUUCAUAGCAAGGGCCGGGCAAGACCGGUGCCAGCCGCCGCGGUAACACCGGCGGCUCGAGUGGUAACCGUUAUUAUUGGGUCUAAAGGGUCUGUAGCCGGCCGGAUAAGUCUCUUGGGAAAUCUGGCAGCUUAACUGUCAGGCUUUCAGGGGAUACUGUCUGGCUCGAGGCCGGGAGAGGUGAGAGGUACUUCAGGGGUAGGGGUGAAAUCUUGUAAUCCUUGAAGGACCACCAGUGGCGAAGGCGUCUCACCAGAACGGACCUGACGGCAAGGGACGAAAGCUAGGGGCACGAACCGGAUUAGAUACCCGGGUAGUCCUAGCCGUAAACGAUACUCGCUAGGUGUCGGCCACGGUGCGACCGUGGUCGGUGCCGUAGGGAAGCCGUGAAGCGAGCCACCUGGGAAGUACGGCCGCAAGGCUGAAACUUAAAGGAAUUGGCGGGGGAGCAC